rnacentral:lncRNA from 1 species
AAUUUUGAUAUUUCAUCUUUUUGUGUAUCUAUUGAAUUUUUACUAACUCCGGCAAAUAUAUUAUAAUGUAGUCUUUUUAUUCUUAUUUUUAAUUCUUUACGUUUUUCAAAAAUAAUUUGUUUUAAUUCUUUAUAUUGUUGUACUUUAUUCAUUUUAAAUUAUAUUUAUAAUAUCUUGGUGGAUAUCUAAAUCUAAUUUUAUCAUAAUUAGGUGGUAUGUGUUUCAUUCUUCUGGAUUUUAA